GCGCUGGAUGACAGGUGUCUCCUAUCUGCUGAUUGCUUGGAGGAGUACUUAAGCGGGAGGCUGCCAGCACUUCGAUGCCAGAGUGUUUGCCUUAGUGGUAACAAGCUCAGCCUUUACUGAUUUUUUGCUUCGUUCAUGAACUUCAAGUAACUUUGUAUUUUGUUUUCAUGCAGGUUUUUAGCUGAGGCUUUGUUUACCUUGCUGAGUUCCGACUUCGUUCCAGAGUUUCUCUGAGCAUCUGGAUUCUCAACUACUGAGUUAAGGAUCUAUCUUAUUGUGGAUUUUUUCCUCUCUACAGUCUGUACCUCUCGGACACGGAUCAAGCUGGCGGCUUCCCGUUUUCUUCAACUCCUGGACCCAGGCAUCAGCAUACCCUGUUCCUUCCUCCAUCUCAAACAUCGGCACCUGAGCUCCGUUUGGCUGGCAUCAAGAUCACAACGAAGAAGACAACUGAUCGAUCUUCCCUCGCAAGUUAAAACUCUGAAUCUCUCUCUCCCUGUUGGUUCAAGCUACAACAAUUUAUUGGUCUUUCCAGUCCUCCCCAGAUUACUUUGCUGACAAUAAAAUCCGUAAAAACUUUC